rnacentral:rRNA from 1 species
UACGUAGGUGGCAAGCGUUGUCCGGAAUUACUGGGCGUAAAGGGCGUGUAGGCGGCCUGUUAAGUCAGGCGUGAAAUCUCUGGGCUUAACCCAGAAAUUGCGUUUGAAACUGGAGGGCUUGAGGAUCGGAGAGGACAGUGGAAUUCCCAGUGUAGCGGUGAAAUUCGUAGAUAUUGGGAAGAACACCGGUGGCGAAGGCGGCUCUCUGGGCCGUAACUGACGCUGAGGCGCGAAAGCGUGGGGAGCAAACAGG